rnacentral:rRNA from 1 species
UGGGGAAUAUUGCACAAUGGGCGCAAGCCUGAUGCAGCCAUGCCGCGUGUGUGAAGAAGGCCUUCGGGUUGUAAAGCACUUUCAGCGAGGAGGAAGGUGGUGAACUUAAUACGUUCAUCAAUUGACGUUACUCGCAGAAGAAGCACCGGCUAACUCCGUGCCAGCAGCCGCGGUAAUACGGAGGGUGCAAGCGUUAAUCGGAAUUACUGGGCGUAAAGCGCACGCAGGCGGUUUGUUAAGUCAGAUGUGAAAUCCCCGGGCUCAACCUGGGAACUGCAUUUGAAACUGGCAAGCUAGAGUCUCGUAGAGGGGGGUAGAAUUCCAGGUGUAGCGGUGAAAUGCGUAGAGAUCUGGAGGAAUACCGGUGGCGAAGGCGGCCCCCUGGACGAAGACUGACGCUCAGGUGCGAAAGCGUGGGGCAGCAAACAGGAUUAGAUACCCUGGUAGUCCACGCUGUAAACGAUGUCGAUUUUGGAGGUUGUGCCCUUGAGGCGUGGCUUCCGGAGCUAACGCGUUAAAUCGACCGCCUGGGGAGUACGGCCGCAAGGUUAAAACUCAAAGGAAUUGACGGGGUC